UUUCCGUAGGUGAACCGGCGGAAGGAUCAUUACUGAGUGAGGGCCCCUCGGGGUCCAACCUCCCACCCGUGUUUAACGAACCUUGUUGCUUCGGCGGGCCCGCCUCACGGCCGCCGGGGGGCAUUUGCCCCCGGGCCCGCGCCCGCCGAAGCCACCUGUGAACGCUGUCUGAAGUAUGCAGUCUGAGACAAUUAUUAAAUUAAUUAAAACUUUCAACAACGGAUCUCUUGGUUCCG
rnacentral:misc_RNA from 1 species